rnacentral:rRNA from 1 species
GACGAACGCUGGCGGCGUGCUUAACACAUGCAAGUCGAACGGAAAGGCCCUGCUUUUAUGGGGUGCUCGAGUGGCGAACGGGUGAGUAACACGUGAGUAACCUGCCCUUGACUUUGGGAUAACUUCAGGAAACUGGGGCUAAUACCGGAUAGGAGCUCCUGCUGCAUGGUGGGGGUUGGAAAGUUUCGGCGGUUGGGGAUGGACUCGCGGCUUAUCAGCUUGUUGGUGGGGUAGUGGCUUACCAAGGCUUUGACGGGUAGCCGGCCUGAGAGGGUGACCGGCCACAUUGGGACUGAGAUACGGCCCAGACUCCUACGGGAGGCAGCAGUGGGGAAUAUUGCACAAUGGGCGGAAGCCUGAUGCAGCAACGCCGCGUGCGGGAAGACGGCCUUCGGGUUGUAAACCGCUUUCGCCUGUGACGAAGCGUGAGUGACGGUAAUGGGUAAAGAAGCACCGGCUAACUACGUG